rnacentral:rRNA from 1 species
GAUGAACGCUGGCGGCGUGCCUAAUACAUGCAAGUCGAGCGAACAGACGAGGAGCUUGCUCCUCUGACGUUAGCGGCGGACGGGUGAGUAACACGUGGAUAACCUACCUAUAAGACUGGGAUAACUUCGGGAAACCGGAGCUAAUACCGGAUAAUAUAUUGAACCGCAUGGUUCAAUAGUGAAAGACGGUUUUGCUGUCACUUAUAGAUGGAUCCGCGCCGCAUUAGCUAGUUGGUAAGGUAACGGCUUACCAAGGCAACGAUGCGUAGCCGACCUGAGAGGGUGAUUGGCCACACUGGAACUGAGACACGGUCCAGACUCCUACGGGAGGCAGCAGUAGGGAAUCUUCCGCAAUGGGCGAAAGCCUGACGGAGCAACGCCGCGUGAGUGAUGAAGGUCUUCAGAUCGUAAAACUCUGUUAUUAGGGAAGAACAAAUGUGUAAGUAACUAUGCACGUCUUGACGGUACCUAAUCAGAAAGCCACGGCUAACUACGUG